ACAUCUGGACUCUUUUAGAGUUGUGUCCUCUAAUUGUAACCUAGACACUGAGCGAAGUGCCUUCCUGAAUUCAGCAAGGGGAUUAUCAACCUGAGAUGGCUUGUGGAACCCCAACUUUUAAAUACUCAAUAGUCAAAACUAAGACUAGCCCCUGGUACUCACAGUGGUACCUCGUAAAAGCAUCUGGCUUGCCAGUGGCUCAGUUUUCAUCACCCAAGGCGGCAGAACUGUGUGGCGGCCACUACCUCAGAGACUGAGAAGAGUCUUAGAAGAGUCUGGCGGUUUCCAGCUGCUUCCUGAGCCCUUGGGCUGUGGGGUGGAGCCUUUGGCCGUGCAUGGUGGCACACGCCUUUAAUCCCAGCACUACAGGAGCCGUGGGAAGGAGCUAGUGAGCAAGCUGAGAAUGGGGUUCGGUACUCUAAAUCCAGGGACCUGCCUGGAACAGUUUUCUUUGGUGUGACUUUAUUUAAAAGUGGAACCUAAUGAUGACAGAAGUCCCAAAGCCACAAUCUCAUAAAAAGCAUGGAUUUCAGUCCUUACAAAAAUAGGACAUCUUCAAAAUUCAUGGCAACCAUUUCCCCAAGGCAAUAACUGUUCCUUUAAAAGUAUCGAUCUGCUAAGGCUGUGUCAUGUCUGUGUUCUAUAAGUACUUAUUCGCUUUUUAAAAACCUAUCACUCGUGUGUAUGCCUGUGCAAUGUGAAUGCAUGUGCAUUGUAAAGCACAACUCUGAACGUUGUAGUGGCAAUUUUUUUUUUCCAGACUGUCCACAGCAGCUGAUUGUGAUUUGCCUCGUGCUCUAGCAAGGGCAGAAUUUUUCCAACUGUAGAUAGUUUCUGCAAUUGUGUGAUAUUUGGAAUUCUAGAGCCCCAGUAGGUGGGGUGGUGGGUUGUUGGUUGGUUGCUUAUGGUUGUUGUUGGUCUCAGUUUGUUAAGUAGUCAUACACAAAGAAAAAGAAAGAAGAAAUCGGAUAUCCUGAGGGCAAGGAUGAAACUUCCUCCAAGGAACUCCACAUCCCAAUCAGCAGGAAGUAGUCUAAUGGUAACAUCACACCCUUUUUCUUCUAUCCUGUUUUCUCUCCCCUCUAGUGUUAAGGAGUUGAAAGGGUGGGAAAGGGGUGAAGGGUGAAAGAAAGAAGAACCCAUAAAGUAGCAAAGGCUACAGAAGAUUCAUUCUCCUUUCACUGUGUGCCAUGGGAGUCAAGCCCAAGUUGUUCAGUGUGGGAAGCAGGUGCGGCUGCAUGGGCCAAGAUGGCACUCUGGCCCAUUGCCAGACCCCGUGAACCCCGCAUGUUUACUGCCUUGCCUGAGCAUGCGCAGUGAAAAAGCAUGCAUAUUCCUCGUGAUCCGGAUCUGUCAGCCUAUCUGUGACCUACCUGAGCUCGUGCCUGGUGUGUGUGUGAUUCUGAUUGGAUGAGGUGGUGUGGAGCAAGAUGAGGUCAGUUGCCGUGAGUAUAGGAGAAUAGCCCUUGCUGCAAGAAGGAGGAGUAGAAGAGGCUGCUGGGGAAAGAGCUGUAAGGGGAAAAGCACCAAGUAAAGAAGUU
rnacentral:lncRNA from 1 species